AUGCCAGCACCAGAUCUCUCUUCGGAAGGAGGAGCGGGGCGGGCUACACGGCCAGACGGGCCCUCCCCUUCAGGCCGGGUGGGCCGCGCGCUUGCGAUUUUCCGUCCGUGGUCCCGGGGCAGCCCGGGCCAGCCCAGGAGAACCCGCGAGCCCAGCGGCGCCUGCACCUGCGGCUUCCGGGAGCCGGGCGGCCCCCGCGGUGCAGGCGCGCGCCUAACGGCUUUGCGAGGCUCACUAGGUCUGAGAGGUCGGAGGCCGCCAGUGUCGCUGCUGAAGGGUGGACCAGGCGGGAUCGCGGAUUCUGGGCUACAUCGCAGACUUGCCGCAGGGGCCGGCGGUCCGGGGCUCCCUAGGCCACGUCUACAGGGGUUCGGGGUACCGAAUCGGAAGAUCCACAGGGCGCUGUCAAGGGCGAAGCCGCGGAAGUGGAUCGCUGCCUGGCGUGCAGGAGCAGAGACCUGGAAGCCGGGGACACGCAGCACAGGCAGUGGGGUGGGGGCUCAGCCCAGGGUGGGAGGGGGUCCCCAGGCCCGGCUUCCCCGCAGCCCCUGGGAUGGGGCCUCGGAGGGCACCCUCAGAGGGGUGGUGCCAAAUGGAGCCUCAGCUGCUCUGCAUCCCUCAUAAUUCCCCAGCUGGAGCGCUUGGUGGAGAGUGUGAGUGAUUUAACUCACAAAGCUAAGCAUACACAGUGUUAUUUUUAACCUACACGUUUAAAACAUGGUGUUAUAUACAUUAUAGGAGGUGCCUAAUGAGAGAACUGAUUCCGUGAGUCGGCCGGGCGCGGUGGCUCAGGCCUGUAAUCCCAGCACUUUGGGAGGCCAAGGCGGGCGGAUCACGAGGUCAAGAGAUCGAGACCAUCCUGGGUAACACGGAGAAACCCCGUCUCUACUAAAAAUAAAAAAUAAAAAUAAAAAUAAAAAUAAAAAAAUUAGCCGAGCGUGGUGGCGGGCGCCUGUAGUCCCAGCUACUCGGGAGGCUGAGGCAGGAGAAUGGCGUGAACCCGGGAGGCGGAGUUUGCAGUGAGCCGAGAUCGCGCCAUUGCACUCCAGCCUGGGCGACAGAGUGAGACUCCGUCUCCAAAAAAGAAAAAAAAACAAAACAAAAAACAAACAAAAAAAAACCGUGAGUCAUUUUCAGUAGCGAAAAGCUCUCACCUAAAACUGUCCGUUUUACAUCCGUAUCCACCUGUGUAGAUCGGUUCUUUACUGAAGGUUCUUAGAAGGAAACUUGGAAGUGGGAGGUGGGUUCUGUGUUCCUGAAUGGGAAGACACGUUUUUCUCACAAUGUGAGCUCUUUCUGUGAUUAUCAAUUUUACAUAAGCCGAAUGAAAAAAUCAAGGUUUUAACAUUUUUGCGUGACACCUACUGUCUUUUACUAUUGUAAUGACAUUUGUAAAAAUUUUAGGGCUGGGCGCGGUGGCUCACGCCUGUAAUCCCAGCACUUUGGGAGGCCGAGGUGGGCGGAUCACGAGGUCAGGAGAUUGAGACCAUCCUGGCGAACACGGUGAAACCCUGUCUGUACUAAAAAUACAAAAAAAUAAUGAUAAUAAUAAUAAUAAUAGCCGGGCGUGUUGAUGGGCGCCCAUAGUCCCAGCUACUCCGGAGGCUGAGGCAGGAGAAUGGCGUGAACCCGGGAGGGGGAGCUUGCAGUGAGCCGCGAUCCAAACGUGCUGGGAUUACAGCUGUGAGCCACCGCGCCCGGGCUGAAAAGUGCAUCUUCGUUUUACAGGGAAUUCUUUCAAAUCAAAUAAUCAAAAACUCUAAAAGCGGGCAAAGUACUUCUUUGCAGAUCUACAAGUUUCUUUCUUUUUUUUUUUAAAUAACGGAAAACUUUUGAAGUUUAUUCAAUGAUUAAAAGAACUUAAAAAUAAAGAACUUAUUUGUGUAGAGGAAGGCUUUUUCUUGGCACAGUUAUUAAAAUUCUCUGGAAUAGAUUUCAAUUUUUUUCUUUUCUUUUUUUUUCCCAUUUUUCUCCAGUGAUUUUUAUUAUUAUUAUUAUUAUACUUUAAGUUUUAGGGUACAUGUGCACAUUGUGCAGGUUAGUUACAUAUGUAUACAUGUGCCAUGCUGGUGUGCUGCACCCACUAACUGGUCAUCUAGCAUUAGGUAUAUCUCCCAAUGCUACCCCUCCCCUCUGCCCCCGCCCCACAACAGUCCCCAGAGUGUGAUAUUCCCCUUCCUGUGUCCAUGUGAUCUCAUUGUUCAAUUCCCACCUAUGAGUGAGAAUAUGCGGUGUUUGGUUUUUUGUUCUUGCGAUAGUUUACUGAGAAUGAUGAUUUCCAAUUUCAUCCAUGUCCCUACAAAGGACGUGAACUCAUCAUUUUUUAUGGCUGCACAGUAUUCCAUGGUGUAUAUGUGCCACAUUUUCUUAAUCCAGUCUAUCAUUGUUGGACAUUUGGGUUGGUUCCAAGUCUUUGCUAUUGUGAAUAAUGCCGCAAUAAACAUACGUGUGCAUGUGUCUUUAUAGCAGCAUGAUUUAUA
ensembl:lincRNA